UACCCAUAGCUCACAGUGCUCAUGUAUACUGCCUGCAUCUGCUACCCAUAGGAAUUUUUGAAGUUGUCUCUUGUAACCAUCAAAUUUAGAUUUUUCUGGCAAUUUGAAUGCCAUCUGAAUGUUGGGAGACCAUACAUUUUAACGAAGCAAUCUUAAAUUAGUUAUAGCAAAGCUGGAAAUCUUGACACUUGUUGAUAUUGCAUCAGCGUGCAAGUCGCCCAAUGUGGUGUCGACUGAAUUAAGACUUGCACUUGGCGGCCAAACUUCCCGGAUAGGGGCCUCCCGGCCAACGAUGCCAUACGCUCAUUUCAUUUUAUUCCUGAGACACACAAUUCAGCCACUUACAUUAGAGCAGUUAUGGAAAAUACAAGUGAAACAAAUGGAUGCUAUGUUCUCACACAAGAUACUGAUGUCUGGAGACAGUCAGUGCACGGAAUUCGAGAUUUAGACCUUACGAUUUGUGACUACCCUGGUACCAAGGCAGCUAACUACCUAUGCUCCUGCCACACAAGACGAUGACUGGAGCUGGAGCGGAAAAUGUUGUACACCAACCUGAGAAAAAUUUGUGUCAGUUUCAGCAAAAGAAAAAAAAGGAGAAUUUCGCCACAACUGUUUUAGGAAAGAACAGCAAGCAGAUUGGUGACAUCGGUUCUC